rnacentral:rRNA from 1 species
AGUCGAGGGGCAGCAUAAAUUACUUGUAAUUUGAUGGCGACCGGCGAACGGGUGCGUAACGCGUAUGCAACCUACCUUUUACUAGAGAAUAGCCAAGAGAAAUUUUGAUUAAUGCUCUAUACACUUUAAGACUCACAUGAGUCUAAAAGAAAAGCUCCGGCGGUAAAAGAUGGGCAUGCGUUCUAUUAGCUUGUAGGUGAGGUAACGGCUCACCUAAGCUUCGAUAGAUAGGGGUCCUGAGAGGGAGACCCCCCACACUGGUACUGAGACACGGACCAGACUUCUACGGAAGGCAGCAGUAAGGAAUAUUGGACAAUGGAGGCAACUCUGAUCCAGCCAUGCCGCGUGAAGGAAGAAGGCCCUAUGGGUCGUAAACUUCUUUUAUACAGGAAGAAAUCUUUCCACGUGUGGAAAGUUGACGGUACUGUAAGAAUAAGGAUCGGCUAACUCCGUGCCAGCAGCCGCGGUAAUACGGAGGAUCCAAGCGUUAUCCGGAAUUAUUGGGUUUAAAGGGUCCGCAGGCUGUUUGUUAAGUUAGAGGUGAAAUCCUACCGCUCAACGGUAGAACUGCCUUUAAAACUGGCAAACUCGAGUUAUUGUGAAGUAAUUAGAAUGUGUAAUGUAGCGGUGAAAUGCAUAGAUAUUACACAGAAUACCGAUUGCGAAAGCAGAUUACUAACAAUUAACUGACGCUGAGGGACGAAAGCGUGGGUAGCGAACAGGAUUAGAUACCCUGGUAGUCCACGCCGUAAACGAUGGUCACUAGCUGUUUGAUGUACAUUGGUACAUUGAGUGGCUAAGCGAAAGUGAUAAAGUGACCCACCUG